UACGUAGGGACCGAGCGUUGUCCGGAAUCAUUGGGCGUAAAGAGCGUGUAGGCGGCCACUUAAGUCCUGCGUGAAAUCUUGCGGCUCAACCGCAAGCGGUCGUGGGAAACUGGGUGGCUAGAGUGCGGGAGAGGAGAGUGGAAUUCCUGGUGUAGCGGUGGAAUGCGCAGAGUAUCAGGAAGAACACCCGUGGCGAAGGCGCUCUCUGGAACGCAACUGACGCUGAGACGCGAAAGCGUGGGGAGCAAACAGG
rnacentral:rRNA from 1 species